rnacentral:lncRNA from 1 species
ACUUUAACCAUUGGAGAAUCUAAAAUCGUGUAUUUUUAAUCUUUUUUUUCAGAUUUAGUUUUCUCCAGAUUAUCUUGUUUCUAUUACUGAACCAACCAAACCUAGAGGAUACAGUUCUAUACUUUACAAUGCUGAAUGGAUUUCAAUUUUGUUGUACAGGAUAAGCAACAAUAACUUCCUUUUAUUUUUUCAUGACAGUUGCCAAAGCACAAGAAAUGUGCUCAUGGCAUUAUAGUAUUUUUGUUUUGUUUUGUUUUGUUUUUCAGACUACAGUAAACAUUUAAUGAACAUUAAUUCUCUGUUUUCUCCUUCUCCUUGUCUUACUGGAACUUUGCACAUAACUCUCUUGAUCACUGCAUAUUAUUGGUUCAGCCAGUUAAAUUUGAUCUAGAGGCCAUCUGUUAGGGUCAAUUUGGUACAUUUCUCCUUUUUUAAAAAAAGUUUUAUUGCAGUAUAGUUAAUUUACAAGGUUGUGAUAAUUUCUGCUGUACAACAAAGUGACCCAGUCAUACAUAUACAUGUAUCCAUUCUCUCUCAGAUGCUUUUCCCACAUAGAUUAUCACAAUAUACUGGGUAGUGUUCUCUGUGCUCUACAGCAGGUCCCCAGUGGCCAGUCGUUCAUACACCUCAGCGUGCAUAUGCCAGCCCCAAACUCCUAGUCCAUCCCUCCCACUUCUCCACAAGUUAAUCUGACGGAUCCUCUAAAGCUCACAAGACAGAUUCAGGCCGCUGCAUAUGAGGCACAUCUGCCAGAUAUUAUGGUCUGUAUGUCUAAUAUCAUAUAUCUCAUGAUUAUGCAUGUUAAGGGAUGUAAGUAGAGUGAAAUAGGAAGUGUAAUAAUAAUUUAAAUACAAAAAUUUAAAAAGUGCAUCAAGAUUAUAACAACUAAACCUAGAAAAGUGAAGACAUCAGAAAUCCUGCCUUCUUCUACUCCUCAGUAACCUGUGUAUGUGUGUGUGUGUGUGUGUGUAUUUACCCAAUACAUUCUGGCAGCUGUAUUCUAAAACUUAUCUGCUGUUUGAGUUUGAGCAAUUCACUUUGCCUUAUUUUGCUUAUCUUUAAAAUGGGAAAAGUCACGGCACCUAGCUUACAAAGCUUUGCUCGAGAUCUUAAAUGUUAGUUACCACGACUGUUUUUAAGGUCCACCACUUUCAUCCUGUGUGAAAGGGAGUGACAUGGAAGGUAAGCACAUUAUGUAGGAGCAGCAAGUUUCCUGAGAUGGAAUCUUUGCUUCUGUCUUUUCUGUUGUCUGCUCUGCAACUAACUCUAUGUACAUAAACACUAAGCUUCAUUUUCCACUUUUGUAGAACAGAAUUAAUUACUUCCAUCAUGGGGCACGGUAAGAUGAUCAGAUAGUUAAUUUAUUACUUAGAACAUUGUAAGCAUACAGUGAUUUAUUUUUGUAAGCUAAAACAUACCAGACUAAGUUUAAUAUUCAUAACUGAUUAGUAUUUACAUUAAUAUUUACAUUAAACAACAUGAAAAAGCAAAUUAAAAUACAAAUUAUCUUAGGUAUUAUAAGAUAAACUAAUAAGAUGCAGUGAAAGAGAAUACAAGCACUGGAAAGCAGAGAAAACCUCUCUGCUGGAUAAAUAAAUAUUUAAACUAGGAGGAAAAAAUGAAGACGAGUGCAGAGGUUUCAGAAUUUUUGAGUGAGGGGCAGGUGGUAAAAGCUGGGUGGUUAUGCGACAUAGAAGUUGCGAUUGGACCUGUAAUGAUGACCAGGUCACACUGGUCGUCACAGUCCAUACUAUACAUUUUGGAUUUUCUUUUGUUUUUAAUUUUUUAAAGUUUUAUUGAACUAUAGUUGAUUUACAAUAUUUUCAUCAUUGCUGCUGUACUCACUUAUACAUGUACACACAUCAAUUCUUUUUCAGAUCCUUUUCCCACAUAGACCAUCACAAGAUACUGGGUGAAUUUCCCUGUACUAUACAGCAAGUCCCCAGUGGCCAGUGAUUCCGUAUAUCACAAUAUGCAUCUGUCAAUCCCAAACCCUCAGUCCAUCCCGCCCCACAACAUCUGUCCCCUUCGGUAACCGUGUUUAUUUUCAAAGUCUGUGAGUCUGCUUUUGUUCUGCAGAUAAGUUCAUUUGCAUCCUUUUUUUUUUUUGACUUCACAUAUAAGUGGUAUCAUAUGAUGUUUGUCUUUCACUGUCGAACUUCACUUAGUAUGAUAAGCUCUAGGUGCAUCCAUGUUUCUGUAAAUGGCAUUAUUUCAUUCUUUUUAUGGCUGAGUAAUAUUCCAUUGGGUGUAUGUACCACAUCUUCUUUAUCCAUGUCAUCUCUAGUUCCAGUCACCAUCUUCAAUUCUUGCCUGGACUAAUGCCGUUGUGACCCAUUGGGCCUUUCUCCUUCCUCUCGUCAUUCAUUUGGGACACUGGUGAUUGCAGGUAGUUGAAUGACUUCAGAGAUUGUAAGCACUGAACUUUAGAGAUUGUAAGCACUGAAAAAAAGUUUUAUGGAGCUACCCCCCAACAUGCAAUUCAAAUUGAAAAUCAGUUGAAAUCUAUCAGAUAACCGUAAGAUGGUUAUAAAAAUUCGGAUUUGCCCCUUGAAGGAAAACCAAAUUAUUCAUGUAUCAGUCCACAUAUAAAUUCCUAUAAAGACUUAGGCACCAUAUUGCACUGGAGACCUCCUCCUCAAGAAGCACAGAGUUGAGGUGGAAGUGAUGCCAAUAAACAUGCAGUUAUGAUGCUGUGUGGCCAAGUCUCCUACAGAGUAGUGAACAGGAUAGAGCAGCGGCACCAGAAUCAGGCCUGAAUGAUUGAAGAAGAUUUCACAUUAGGACGUGAAAAUCAAGAUGAAGCUUUACAGUGAAGGGUGAGCUGAGGUUAGCCAAGGGGAGAAGAGUUCACACAAUUGCAGGCAGAGGAAAAGCUUAUUUCAUUUCAUUUCAUUUCAUUUCAUUUUUGGCUGCACCUGUGGCAUGCAAACUUUGGUCAGAGAUUGAACCUGAGCCACAGCAGUAGCAACACCAGAUCCUUAACCUACUUAGCCACCAGGGAACUCUGGGAAAGUUUUGAAAAGGUACAAAAGAUAAAGGAGCAUACACUUUUGGGAAUCAACAGCUUUCCCAUAACUGAAUUCAUGAAUAGGAGGUCUUUAUAUACACUAAAAGUUAAAAAUAAGUUUAUUUUUCUUCUGAUUACCUCUAUGAUGGUUCAGAACAUACUGUUUUCCAAGGAGCUAAAUUAACCAUGGGUUUAACUAUGCACAAAUAGCAUAAAAGCUUAAAAAUAUUUUGGUCUUAACCUGAUUAUAAAUGAACAUUUUCUUCAGAGUCCAGUAAGCAUAUCAUAAAACUAUAACAUUUUUGAAAACUUAAUCCAAAAGUGUAUUUUAGCACCAAAGUCAUGUGGCAUAUUUUUAAAAUGACAUAAUAUUGACUCAUUAUGAAACAGGUUCCACUAAAAACAAAUUAACUUCUAACAGCAAAUGGCCUAAGCACUCAUUAUUUUAGUGUUGAAAACUUCAGUCCUGAAAUUUAAUAUCUAUCCUUCAUUCCCAAUAUCCUUUCUCUAUUACAUGUGCAAGAAAAUGUUUGACCUGUAAGAUUAAGCACUUAAUACAUUUUCAGAUGAUACGCAUUUUCCAGGGCUAUAUGGUUUCCCCUAGGUUUCAGAAGAGAAUUGUAGAAAAUAGCCCUGAGGUUUUAAAAUACAAGUUGUAGUUGACUUAUUCAUAAACCACAAAGUUUUUGUGAUAAUUAUUUCAAUAUUGAAAACUCUAAUGUCCUUCUAUGCUUCCCUUCUGCAGAACAUAUAUUUUUGGAUAAUCACCCAAAACUAUUAUAUUCCAACCCACACCCAGUUUCUUCCUUUGCACAACAAUGGAUUACCAUGUCAAUAAAAGGCCUUCUAAAUUUUCCAAGACAAAAAUGGGACAGAUCCAUUUUAGGAAUCUUGGCAAUGAUUUGUUGAUUUAAAUGUUUCUGUAUAUUUUUUGGUUUCUCUAGUUAGAAUUGGCCAUAAAUCAGAUUUGAAAAUAAGGUAAUGAUUUCCAAAGUUGGUUGUUGAUUGAAACCAUGCAAGGAAGUUUAAAAAAAUGCAGAUUCCCAAGAUAUUUCCCUUGGAGAUCCUGACUGAAUAUAUGUGUGAUUAAGAAAUUUGCAUUUUUAAAUAGUACCAAAGGUGAUUGUGAUAAUCACAUGAACCUAAGUUAUGUUCUCUUCAUUCCUUUACUUUUGCUUCUCUCUCACCCCUUCAUAAUCCUUGUGCUUUUUCUGUUAUCUUAUGGAGGGAGUGUCUCUGCUUAUGUUUUGUUUGUUUUUAGUGAAACAUUUGUGUCUCCAAUGGAGGCAAUUCAGGGUGAGUUAAUCAGAAAGACCCCAUGGGGGAAGUCAAGAUUUCAUCAUAGCUCUCCUCAUGACUAUCUGUUCCAUCCAUAAACAUGCAACUUUGAGGAAAGAAGAUGCUAAAGGCUCUGGGUCUUCAGGAGUAUUUCUACUGGCCCAGACAUGGGACUCUAGCAAGUCUAAAAGCUAAUCAGUCACAGAAUAUUUAUUCAUUUUAUGACAAACGAAUACACUGUAUUCAGAUGGACAAAGAAAAUUGGAAUUUUUUUUUAACUUUUUGUGUAAUCUCCUUUCCACCAACGUUGGAUGGUAGGAAAUCUGAAUUUAGUCACUGGCAUUCUGUUAGUCUCUAUCUAUUUAAAACGUCCCAGUCAAUUUAGGUUCUCCUUUUAGACUUCCAGACUUUAACUCCCUCAGUGUAAUAUUCCAGGGGGUGGAACCUGCCUGGUGCCUGGGGCUGAGGCAGGGAAGGAACAGCUACUAGGAUAUGUAGCGUGAUGGUUUGGCUCCUCUCGUCUUGUCGUUAUUUAACUCCAUUAACUGGGGACUGUGGCUCCGGAGGUUGUGGCCUCUUCUCUCUGGGGUGGGUCCUGUUCCCUUCAGUCCUCCGUGAUGACUCAUAUCUCACCAUGUCUGGCUGGCUUUGAGUGGCUUCCUGAUGUCUGGCUCUGAGUGCCAAACAAAUCCUGCCUUGGGUAGUUGACUCUGCAGUUAUUGCAGUAGCAGAACAAGGCCAGAGGGCCUGGAGUAGAGUGAGGGAGGGAAGGAGGGACCCAGAUGAGGUCCAGGAUUACUUUCCCUGUGGCGCUAUAAGCAGUGACCAUGCAUUCAGUGGCUUAAAACAGCACGGAUUUAUUAUCUUUCAAUUCUGAAGCUCAGCAAUCCAAAGCGAGUUUCCCGAGGUUAAGAUCAAGGUGCCAGCAGGACUGCGUUCCUUUGAAAGCUCUAAGAGAUAAAUCAUUUCCUUGGCUUUUGCAGCUUCUGGAGACAUUCACAUUUUUUGUCUCUUCAGCCCACCAUCUCCAAAGCUAGCAAUGGUCAGCUGGGUCUUUCUCACAUCAUGCCCCUCUGACAUGAACUUUCCUGACUCCUUCUUCCACUUUUAAGGAUACCGUGAUUCCAGGAGACCCACCCGGAUAAUCCUGGGUAAUCAUCUGUCUUAAAGUCAAUUGAGUAACAUCCUUAAUUUUGUCAGCUCCCUUAACGCCUCACUGCCAUGUAACUUACAUAUUCACAACUUCUGGGAAUGAGUAUGAGAAGCCACUAUUUUGCCUACAGCAGUUUCUAAAACCUUUAAUGGUACUGUAGUUUGAUUUAAACACUCUCCAAAAGUGUUCGAUUAGAAGAAACUCUGCUCUUUGGAUCUAUGACCUUCAAUAUGUUUGAAAUGAUUUUUCAAAAAUCAGUUAUAGCCACAUCCCAUAGUAUCUCCUCAUUUAUGCUCUAACAUUAGAGAAUUAGAUUUUAUAUUUUUUAGCUUUUAUUAUCCAGCUAGGAAGCUGAAUUGAGAUAUGCCCUUUAUUGGUGUGAUUAGGCUGUUAUACAUUGCCAAAUUGUGUGUUGAAUAUUCUCUCAGAAGCCAGGGGAAACAAAAUUAUAAUGAAAUUAUUCUGGGUCUGGUUAAUGUCCUUUCUGGGAAGAGACUUGGGAGUAACUUAAAAAAUACGCUGAGACAUUUGCUUGUGGGCAUGUGGGUUGUUUUUCCCAGAAGUGAUGUGCAGUAGACUGGGUACCAGAAGAGGGAGGGGGGGUGUGCUCUCAAGUCUACAUGUAUUUCCGUGAUCUCCAGGGUCAUGACUCAGAGUGGAAUCCCUGAGUGACUCAGAUCUCAUUUUGUCACUUAGGGGGGAAAAAAAAAGAAAACAGAAAAAAGAGAUGAGUAUCUAAAGAGAAAAAGAGUGGUCGUGUUGGAUCCUGGGCCACAACCAUUGAAAAUACUUCCUCGGAGUUCCCAUCAUGGCGCAGCGGAAACGAAUCCGACUAGGAACCAUGAGGUUGCAGGUUCAAUCCCUGGCCUCACUCAGUGGGUUAAGGACCCAGCGUUGCUGUGAGCUGUGGUGUAGGUCACAGACACGUUUCAGAUCCCAUGUUGCUAUGGCUCUGGUGUAGGCCGGCAGCAGCAGCUCCGAUUAGACCCCUAGCCUGGGAAUCUCCAUAUGCCGCAGGUGCGGCCCUAAAAAA